UUCCUGGUGCGAACCCUCUCUAAAUCCUAGCUGGGAACUUUCUGGGUGCAAGUUGGCCCUGGGUUAAGAUGCUGGAGUGUGAAGAGUAGGCGCUAAUUAGAGCUGCCCAACUAGUCAGCAGCACGCCUCAGAGGAGAAGUUUGCAAGCCUCUGCUCUAGAUGCAUAUCUAUUUUAUGACACUGAUUCUACUACCAUCAGGCAAGGGGGUCUUCAGUUGGAAUCUACCUAAGUUAUGCUAAGGAAGGAAGGACAUGGAUUUUAAUCAUCUUGCUCAGAAGUCUGUUUUAAAAUCUAGUCACCAACUCUUCAUUGGUCGUGUCCAUUUGACCUCCUGGUGAUCCUGGGAGAAUGAAAUUAACCACUCUGGAAUAAACAUUCAAUCUUUUUAUUUUUUUCACUUUCUUAGGAGAGUAAUAAAUAUAGUCAGUGA